AAGAUAAAAUCAGUAAUAAAUAUACAAGAAAUAAAAGGAAAUGAAUUGAAGUAUAAAACUAGGAAAAAAAUUAUGAGAUCACAAAAGAAGACACAGCAGUAGAGGGAGAAUGGUACAUAGGAACCACAAAAUAGUGCAAAACAAUAACAAAAUGACAGAUUUAAGUCUUUGCCUAUCAAUAAUCACUUUAAAUACAAAUGGAUAAAAUUCUGUGAUCAAAUAGCACAUAAUGGCUGAUCGGAUUUUAAAAAUCUGUUCAAACUCUGUAGCCUACAAAAGUCACACUUUAGCUUUAAGGACACACAUGAACUGAAAGUGAAGGGAUGAAAAAAUAUAUUUUAUGCACAGAAAAACUUGAAGAGAACAAGGAUACCUUGGUACAGUUUGGGCUACCCUGGUACAGGUUAGUGACAGGUGUCAGUAUCUGGGAAAGCCAGGGCCAUAAGGUAACAGUUCCCAAUUCCCACCAAGCAGCUGGGAAUGUGAGGCCCUAGGUGGAAGGAGAGAGGUGGGAGAUUCCAACAUGGGCAAGGUCUGGUCAGGUGUAAAAGGGAAGCCUCAAAUGCUGAUGUCACCAUAAGGACAGGAGGGAAAGCUGGGGAAAUGGCCUGGACGGGGCCAGGGAAGCCCCUGACACAGGAUGGGAGGAGCAGGAAAAUGAGGAGGGAGGUGGAGGUUGGUGGGAAACAGGAUCCUGUCUUAGAAACAGGAGAAAAAUAGACCCAGGAAAGAGUGAGACAAUGGGCAAUCAUCAUGAGUAUGAGAUGUUGAGAAAAAAAUCAUUGGAGAAAGGAGACUGGCAUGCUGAGGAGAGGCUGGUACCCGAACCACUGCUCCCUGAUGCGCUUCCCAGAAUGCAUCUGGAUCCAUCUGGGCAGCAUCCCUGAUGGCUACUCCAAGCACACAGUCUACAUGGGUUCUGAGUCACCUUGGGCUCCAGGGUGAGCUUCAGAACCUUGGGGAUGUCCCUCCUGAGUCCUGGGGUCUAAUCUCUCUGGCGGGCGCCCUCUGGUCUCCAUCCUUCAGCCCCCCCCCCCACUGGAGUCCCAUCAGCUGUGCCAAGCUUCUGCCAGAACCGUCACCAGGAUCAGCAAGACCACACCGGCCAGGCCCAUGUGGACAAUGUUCCCCAAUGUGUAGUUCUGGGAGGUGCCAGCUGGAGAGAGAAGGAAGAGGUCACUGACAGAUGACACUGAAAUAGGAGCUACUCCUCCACUUUCCUGUCCAGAACCUGCCCCUACCCCAGCACUUCCCCUGGGCACAUUGCCAGCCUGCAGACAGAUGUGGUGGCUGGAGCAACAGCAGCCAUCUUGCAACAAGAGGUGAUCUUAAUGCUCGUGGCAGAUGACUAAGAUUCCAGAGCAGAACGAAGGAGUCUACAUCCCUGGUGGUAUACUGAAGCUGCCAUAAGAUCUCUGGUGGAGUUUCAGAUCUUGGAAGAGAAUGUCUAGCAAGAGCUGUGAUGGCCCAGUGCUUCCAGAUAGUUAAAAGCAUCUGUUAGGUCUGAUGUCUCCAGUGGCCUCGUCUGACAUCCUAAGUCACAGGAGGGAGGAAGCUGAGGAUUCCACUCUGCCCUGGGCUCCUGAGGCUGGCAUUGGCCUCCCAGGGUUCGUGUCAAUCAGGAUAUCGAGGGAAGGACCUGAGAUUUUUCAGGGUCACAGUCAAUGGAAAGGCUGGCCAGGCUGUGGGCACCAGGUGAGUUUCAGGCAGAGCUGGGGUCCUGAGGAAGGCACUCCCCUCACAUCCUUGCAAGCAGCAGGGUGUGGUCUGAUGACAAGGGAGGAGGGGCCUGCAGCGUUGGCUAUGUCCCAUGCCCCACCUCCUGUCUCAGACCAGGGGUCUCAGCCUCUCCCAGGGCACAGACCUGGGGUUUUCCACAGAUCUGGGUCUCAAGCCCAGGAGAGACUCAGUCCUGUUGAUCACAUUUCUUCAAGGAAAGAGAAACACGCUGUCUGAUCUGAGAUCCCUCCAUUAAUUAAGGCCCAUGUGCUUUGUGAUUCUUGGCUGGACUCUACUCCCCCAGUGUCUGCCCAGACUCCAUGUUCUCCAUUGACCACUGGUGACUCAGGCUGCCCUGAGCUCUGUUCCAACUGGACCCAACUUCUGGGCUUCUGUGUUCACUUCUGCACUGUCUAAUUUUAGCAAGAAUCCUGGUAAGUCAGUGGAACCCUAGAUAUCUGAUCACCCUCUGUAUCUUCCCGGGUUCCUCAUUCUCCACCAUCCCCAGGUGAUGUCUGGUCACCUUCACCAGCCAACAGUAAGAACCCAGUUAGAAUGGUUUAACCAGAAUCUCUUACCUCUGAUGUUUCCUCUUACUAAUUUUCCAUUUACAGGCCACCCUACUCCUUGGCUGUAAAUUCCAAGUUGCCCAUGCUAUAUUCAUUCAGACCAUUUUCUUUUCCCCACUGCAAAAUCCCAUUACUGUGGUCCCUAUACCUAUUGUAUUGGUUUUGAAUAAAGUCUUCUGUAUUGUGCUUUUAAAAAGUGGCAUUGGACGAUUUUUUCUUUAACUCCCCACCCAUCUGGUACAUGGCUCUAAGAAACAGAAGUCCAGACCCCUGGGCUCUGCCCUGGACAGAACCCAGGAGGUGGUUGGUAGAUUUUGGCAGCGUAGUUAGCACAGAGGGCAUCCCUCCUGUGCUCAGAAUGUCUUGGCUCUGUGGUCAGAACCACUCUCCUUGGAAAAAUAUCUUCUCUUUCUGUGUUUAAACAAUCACUCUCAAUCCCCAAAGAAACAGGAGGAAGGGUCUGGGAAUAAUAUAUAUAUAAAAAAUAUAUAAUAUAUCUGUAAAAUCCACUGAUAACCCAAGAGACUCAAAACCAAAUACAUAGUACCAGUGACUGUUUAUUAAAGAUUCAAUCAUUUUACAAUUGUUUUAUUUUCAUAGAUUUAUGGGGUACAAGAUGACUUCUGUUAUUUGUAUAUAUUGUAUAGUGGUGGAAUCUGGGCUUUUAGCGUACCCAUCACCUGAGAAUUGUACAUUGCACCCCAUCAGUGAAUUUUCGUCCCAUUUGUAUAUCUUUUGAAAAAUGCAUUUCAUGUCAUUUGCCCACUUUCUAAUGAGGUUGUUUUUUUUCUUUUUUC